rfam:Picea glauca, whole genome shotgun sequence.
ACAUGCCUACAUCAUAGCAUUAAUGCAUAGAAUCCCAUUAGAACUUCAAAGUUAAGCACGCUCAGGCUAGAGUAGUACUGGGAUGGGUGGUCGCCCAGGAAGUCCUAAUGUUUUACAUGCC